AGAGUUUGAUCAUGGCUCAGGACGAACGCUGGCGGCGUGCUUAACACAUGCAAGUCGAGCGAUGAAGCUUCUUCGGAAGCGGAUUAGCGGCGGACGGGUGAGUAACACGUGGGCAACCUGCCCUAUAGAGGGGAAUAGCCUUCCGAAAGGAAGAUUAAUACCCCAUAAGAUUGUAGUUUCACAUGGAACAGCAAUUAAAGGAGCAAUCCGCUAUAGGAUGGGCCCGCGGCGCAUUAGCUAGUUGGUGAGGUAACGGCUCACCAAGGCGACGAUGCGUAGCCGACCUGAGAGGGUGAUCGGCCACAUUGGGACUGAGACACGGCCCAGACUCCUACGGGAGGCAGCAGUGGGGAAUAUUGCACAAUGGGGGAAACCCUGAUGCAGCAACGCCGCGUGAGUGAUGAAGGCCUUCGGGUUGUAAAGCUCUGUCUUUGGGGACGAUAAUGACGGUACCCAAGGAGGAAGCCACGGCUAACUACGUGCCAGCAGCCGCGGUAAUACGUAGGUGGCAAGCGUUGUCCGGAUUUACUGGGCGUAAAGGGAGCGUAGGCGGAUUUUUAAGUGGGAUGUGAAAUACUCGGGCUCAACCUGAGUGCUGCAUUCCAAACUGGAAGUCUAGAGUACAGGAGGGGAAAGUGGAAUUCCUAGUGUAGCGGUGAAAUGCGUAGAUAUUAGGAAGAACACCGGUGGCGAAGGCGACUUUCUGGACUGUAACUGACGCUGAGGCUCGAAAGCGUGGGGAGCGAACAGGAUUAGAUACCCUAGUAGUCC
rnacentral:rRNA from 1 species